rnacentral:misc_RNA from 1 species
AAAAUGCGAUAAGUAAUGUGAAUUGCAGAAUUCAGUGAAUCAUCGAAUCUUUGAACGCACAUUGCGCCCGCCAGUAUUCUGGCGGGCAUGCCUGUCUGAGCGUCAUUUCAACCCUCGGGACCCCGUUCGCGGGACCCGGCGUUGGGGAUCAGCCCGAAGCCCCCCGGGGCGGGCGGCUGGCCCCGAAAUCUAGUGGCGGUCCCCCCAGCGACCUCCUCUGCGCAGUAGUAAUUCACCUCGCAGCUGGACAGCGGGAGGGCCACGCCGUAAAACCCCCAACUUCUCAAAGGUUGACCUCAGAUCAGGUAGGAAUACCCGCUGAACUUAAGC